AAAAUUUUUGCUUCAUAAACAACAAUCACCCUCUGCAUUCUAUUCCCCAUAAUAUAUUAUUCAAAUCCAAAAUAUCAACAAUUACAACAAAUUCAAUGCAGCAAUUACACAAUUGCCAAACAUCUCUUCAUACUGUUUUUGUAAAAAUUCAUGGGAGCAAUUACGAAUAUGCGACGGAACUCCACAACAAACACAGCCUAAAUUAAAUUGGAGAACAAUCACAACAAACACACACUUCCAUAUCUUUUUUAGAUCUAGUUCUUCAUCAUGGCAAGCUGCUACAACUGAUAAACAAACCCCUGCCUACUGUUAAAAACGCAGCAGCAUAAAGCGCAUGUGCAGAAAAAAUAAGCGCAACAUACAGAGGGACAUACAAAGCCAAAACACCAAAAAUAAACAAAGCAAAAUACAUGCCCACCCUAAAUGCCGAACUGCAACAACA
rnacentral:lncRNA from 1 species